rnacentral:rRNA from 1 species
AGCAGCCGCGGUAAUUCCAGCUCCAAUAGCGUAUAUUAAAGUUGUUGCAGUUAAAAAGCUCGUAGUUGAAUUUCGGGAUUGACACAUCGGUCGUGCCUUAAGGGGUAUGAACUGGUGUAGUCAAUUUCUCACCUUCUGGAGAACCGCGAUGCCCUUAAUUGGGUGUCACGGGGAACCAGGACCUUUACUUUGAAAAAAUUAGAGUGUUUAAAGCAGGCAUUUUGCUUGAAUACAUUAGCAUGGAAUAAUAAAAUAGGACGGCAAUGAUUCUAUUUUGUUGGUUUCUAGGAUCACCGUAAUGAUUAAUAGGGAUAGUUGGGGGCAUUAGUAUUCAAUUGUCAGAGGUGAAAUUCUUGGAUUUAUUGAAGACUAACUACUGCGAAAGCAUUUGCCAAGGAUGUUUUCAUUAGUCAAGAACGAAAGUUAGGGAUCGAAGACGAUCAGAUACCGUCGUAGUCUUAACCAUAAACUAUGCCGACUAGGAAUCAGACGAUGUUAAUUUUUAAUGUACUCGUUUGCU